rnacentral:rRNA from 1 species
GCAGCGAUGCCGCGUGAGUGAAGAAGGCCUUUGGGUUGUAAAACUCUUUCGUCGGGGAAGAAAAUGACUGUACCCGAAUAAGAAGGUCCGGCUAACUUCGUGCCAGCAGCCGCGGUAAU